rnacentral:rRNA from 1 species
GACGAACGCUGGCGGCGUGCUUAACACAUGCAAGUCGAACGGAAAGGCCCUGCUUUUGUGGGGUGCUCGAGUGGCGAACGGGUGAGUAACACGUGAGUAACCUGCCCUUGACUUUGGGAUAACUUCAGGAAACUGGGGCUAAUACCGGAUAGGAGCUCCUGCUGCAUGGUGUGGGUUGGAAAGUUUCGGCGGUUGGGGAUGGACUCGCGGCUUAUCAGCUUGUUGGUGGGGUAGUGGCUUACCAAGGCUUUGACGGGUAGCCGGCCUGAGAGGGUGACCGGCCACAUUGGGACUGAGAUACGGACCAGACUCCUACGGGAGGCAGCAGUGGGGAAUAUUGCACAAUGGGCGGAAGCCUGAUGCAGCAACGCCGCGUGCGGGAUGACGGCCUUCGGGUUGUAAACCGCUUUCGACUGUGACGAAGAGUGAGUGACGGUAAUGGGUAAAGAAGCACCGGCUAACUACGUG